rnacentral:miRNA from 1 species
GCAGGGGGAAGGGGAUGCUUGC